rnacentral:rRNA from 1 species
CCUACGGGAGGCAGCAGUGAGGAAUAUUGGUCAAUGGACGAGAGUCUGAACCAGCCAAGUAGCGUGAAGGAUGACUGCCCUAUGGGUUGUAAACUUCUUUUAUAAAGGAAUAAAACGAGGCACGUGUGCCUUUUUGCAUGUACCUUAUGAUUAAGGAUCGGCUAACUCCGUGCCAGCAGCCGCGGUAAUACGGAGGAUCCGAGCGUUAUCCGGAUUUAUUGGGUUUAAAGGGAGCGUAGAUGGGUUGUUAAGUCAGUUGUGAAAGUUUGCGGCUCAACCGUAAAAUUGCAAUUGAUACUGGCAGUCUUGAGUACAGUUGAGGUAGGCGGAAUUCGUGGUGUAGCGGUGAAAUGCUUAGAUAUCACGAAGAACCCCGAUUGCGAAGGCAGCUCACUAAACUGUGACUGACAUUGAUGCUCGAAAGUGUGGGUAUCAAACAGGAUUAGAUACCCGAGUAGUC